rnacentral:rRNA from 1 species
GUGAGGAAUAUUGCGCAAUGGAGGCAACUCUGACGCAGCCAUGCCGCGUGCAGGAAGAAGGCGCUACGCGUUGUAAACUGCUUUUAACCGGGAAGAAACCCCAGGACGUGUCCUGGGUUGACGGUACCGGAGGAAUAAGCACCGGCUAACUUCGUGCCAGCAGCCGCGGUAAUACGAAGGGUGCAAGCGUUAUCCGGAUUCAUUGGGUUUAAAGGGUGCGUAGGCGGAGCGUUAAGUCAGUGGUGAAAUCCUGCAGCUUAACUGUAGACUUGCCAUUGUGACUGGGGCUCUUGAGUGCGCUUGAAGUGGGCGGAAUGUGCCGUGUAGCGGUGAAAUGCUUAGAUAUGGCACAGAACACCAAUUGCGAAGGCAGCUCACUAAGGCGAUACUGACGCUGAGGCACGAAAGCGUGGGGAUCGAACAGGAUUAGAAACCCGGGUAGUCC